rnacentral:rRNA from 1 species
AGUUUGAUCCUGGCUCAGAGUGAACGCUGGCGGUAGGCCUAACACAUGCAAGUCGAACGGCAGCACAGAGGAGCUUGCUCCUUGGGUGGCGAGUGGCGGACGGGUGAGGAAUACAUCGGAAUCUACUUUUUCGUGGGGGAUAACGUAGGGAAACUUACGCUAAUACCGCAUACGACCUACGGGUGAAAGCAGGGGAUCUUCGGACCUUGCGCGAUUGAAUGAGCCGAUGUCGGAUUAGCUAGUUGGCGGGGUAAAGGCCCACCAAGGCGACGAUCCGUAGCUGGUCUGAGAGGAUGAUCAGCCACACUGGAACUGAGACACGGUCCAGACUCCUACGGGAGGCAGCAGUGGGGAAUAUUGGACAAUGGGCGCAAGCCUGAUCCAGCCAUACCGCGUGGGUGAAGAAGGCCUUCGGGUUGCCUUCGGGUUGUAAAGCCCUUUUGUUGGGAAAGAAAUCCAGCCGGCUAAUACCUGGUUGGGAUGACGGUACCCAAAGAAUAAGCACCGGCUAACUUCGUGCCAGC